CGGCGAACGGGUGAGUAACACGUGGUUAACCUGCCGAGAUGUGGGGGAUACCCCGGGGAAACCCGGGCUAAUACCGCAUGAUGUCUUCCGGGCGUCGGCCUGGAAGAGCAAAGCCGGGGACCGCAAGGCCUGGCGCAUUUCGAGGGGACCGCGGCCGAUUAGCUAGUUGGCGGGGUAACGGCCCACCAAGGCGACGAUCGGUAGCCGGCCUGAGAGGGUGAUCGGCCACACCGGAACUGAGACACGGUCCGG
rnacentral:rRNA from 1 species